AUUCUCCUUCCUAAUCUCCCACCACCACUUUUGUCAGGGGCCACUGCGGUCACCCACAAACAUCUGAGGAGGAGCCGCCACCAUUGUCACCACCUGGACCAAGGACCCUGUGCUGCGGUCACCCACAAACAUCUGAGGAGGAGGCGCCACCAUUGUCACCACCUGGACCAAGGACCUGUGCUGCGGUCACCCACACACAUCUGAGGAGGAGGCGCCACCAUUGUCACCACCUGGACCAAGGACCUGUGCUGCGGUCACCCACACACAUCUGAGGAGGAGGCGCCACCAAGCUCAAGAUGUGUAGUCAUCCACACCUGAGAAGGGGCCCAGCACCUCCUAGGAUCUGCUCUCCACAACUAUCUUCACACCACUUCAUUGUUUUAACAAGCUUAAUAAAUGAUAAAAUAUGACUGCCCAUA